rnacentral:rRNA from 1 species
UGGGGAAUAUUGCACAAUGGGGGAAACCCUGAUGCAGCGACGCCGCGUGAACGAAGAAGGUAUUCGUAUCGUAAAGUUCUGUCCUAUGGGAAGAUAAUGACAGUACCAUAGAAGAAAGCUCCGGCUAAAUACGUGCCAGCAGCCGCGGUAAUACGUAUGGAGCGAGCGUUGUCCGGAAUUAUUGGGCGUAAAGGGUACGCAGGUGGUUUAAUAAGUCGAAUGUUAAAGAUCGGGGCUCAACCCCGUAAAGCAUUGGAAACUGAUAAACUUGAGUAGUGGAGAGGAAAGUGGAAUUCCUAGUGUAGUGGUGAAAUACGUAGAUAUUAGGAGGAAUACCAGAAGCGAAGGCGACUUUCUGGACACAAACUGACGCUGAGGUACGAAAGCGUGGGGAGCAAACAGG